rnacentral:rRNA from 1 species
UCCGUAGGGUGCUAUCGUUAUUCGGAAUUACUGGGCGUACAGGGUGCGUAGACGGCUUAUUAAGUCGGUUGUUAAAUAUCCCGGCCUAACCGGGAAAAGGCGGUCGAUACUGAUAGGCUAGAGGGUGGAAGAGAGAAGUGGAAUUCUCGGAGUAGCGGUAAAAUGCGUAGAUAUCGAGAGGAACACCGAUGGCGAAGGCAGCUUCUUGGUCCAUUCCUGACGUUGAGGCACGAAAGCGUGGGGAGAAAACAGG